GCUACCAGUGUCACGUGCACUCCCAUGAAAAGGUCAUGAGAUGUGGCCCUGGCAGAUUUGGCACAGAUUGUUAGAAGCCUUCUGGCAUUUUCUUUUUUUAAAUCAGAAAAUACCACUUAGUUUUAACAUAACUCCACAAAUAUUUGAAAAAAAGGAUAAUUAUUAAUGCUGUUUCAAAAGGCCUUACUUUUUCUGCUUCCUUCCUUUAAAGAAUAUUAAGUGAUUUCAUCUUCAUUUUAAAAUGUAGUUUUAUGGUUUUCAAACUUCAAAAGUAUGACGUUACAAUUAAUAUUUUCCCAAAGUACAGCAUAAAAUUGAAAUAGCAAAAAUAUUUGCUUAACUAUUUUGAGAUGGAGUUUGGAUGUUUGACUCAAAUGGAAUGUUUUUUUCUAAAAAACUUUUCAAGGGAGGAAAACCCUUCUGAUGAUUAAAUCCCAGCCUGAGAGAGAUGGGACAAUAUUUCCAUUAAAGAGAGACAGAGUUUCUGUGCAGGAAUUCAGGGAAGGAACAGUAUCUUUAUUGGAGGUGGUGUUUAGCAGGUGAUAACAAGUGGUUUCAUCUCCUUAUCCUUCUCUCCCUUCUCCCAGUGCCUUGCCUCGCAGAUUUGGGGAUACCUGAGCCAGUUCCUGAAGAGACUUUUCCCCCAUGACAUCACCAAAGGCAAAGGUGGAGAAAUAGGCAGUAUUUUGGCCUACAUAUUUAUUGUUCUGCUGGGAUGUAGAUGCUGUCAUAGCAGGAAAAUGUUUUCUGGAUCUCUCUCACAGCUCCUGCUCCCCAGUGCUUACUGCCAAUGGAGGAGUUGUGGUAGAAAAUCUGUCCCAGAAACCACCAUCAGUUGUUUGCUUUGCCCUGUUCCUUUUCUGCUUCUAACCCUUUAUCAUCCCUUUCCUGCCCUCUACGAAGUAAAGAAGAAACUAAGAUCAGCUAGUGAAGGAUUUCCUGGAUUGGUUGCAUAAUUUAGCUGCAAUAUGAACAUCUGCACUUUUCAUUAGUCAUUCUCCAAGAGGUCAAAGAGAGACCAUCCCCAAGGUCACAGGAAAGGCAAGGGUUACCAUUGCACUAGGCUAAGACAUUACAAUAGUGAUGAUGACAAAACUAUUUGGCAGAGGUGCCAGCAAUGCCAGCAAACAAGCCACCAUCCUACCAAGGGCAGUAUUUUGAUUGCCCAGAAAGCCAGCCCAGCUCCCUGCUGUCACACUGUCACAAUCCCCAGCUGGCAGGCCCAGGCUGCAGCCCCAGCCCAGUGUCAUUCCAGCUCCCCAGAGUGUUUUGCCAGGGCUGGGGAGAGUCUCUACACACAGCUCCCAGGAGCUGUACCUGGAUAAACAGUGAACUGGAGAUGGUGGAGGAAAAAUUCCCCAAGGGCAGAGUAAAAAGCACCAAGAAAUGUAGGUGUGACCGCUCAGGGUGGCUGCAGCACAUCUUCACCACUGAAGGGACACCACCACAGGGGUCACUGAAGCACCUUUCCUUGCUGACCUAGUCCUUCCUGGUCCCAAACAGGUGCUUCAUCCUUCCCCUGACACACAUGGCUGGCACAAGGGCCUGUGGAAGGAAAAGUGCCCAGCUGUGCUCUGAGAAACUCCUGGGAAACGGUGAUGGUGGCACAAAGAGCACAGCACAAGAUUCCUGAAUAUGAGACAUCCUCCCUGCUGGCAGUUGCAGAGGUAUGAGCAAUGUGAUGGCACAGCCUCUUCGUUUCCUUGGCCAUUCUUUAUGCCUUUAUUUUCAUCUAGACUUACAUCCAAGGCUUGCAGUGCACUUCCUGUGGCAAGAGCCUCCAAGCAAUUAUGAGGUCUGCAAUGUCUCCUCCAAGCCUCUUGUUUUUCAGGAAUCUUUUACCAUGAUUCUAUUUGUCCUUUGUCAUGGCAUAGAUGUGCAAUUUUCAUUUUGUGAAGGGACAUCAAAUGGGAGGGCAGGAAAGUUCAGGGAAGUAGAAUUAGAUUUUUAAUGACAUUUCCUUUAGCCAUUAGAGUGUGGCUAAUGCUUGAUAUGUUUGUGGUGCAGCAGAAUUGAGUGAGGGGUCCCAUUUGUUGUUCUCUCAGUCCCAGAGCUACCGACAUCCAUAUCUAUGGGGUUUUUUUUCAUGCAGGUUACUGGAACAUUACGCCUGAUCACUCUAGAUGCCCGCCAGAGCUAGUGGUCUGCUUGUGUGUAACAAGUGUAGCCAGCAAAAGGAAACAGUUCAGCUCUGGAAUACUCAGAAAAGGAAAUAGUCCUACUGGAGGAUUCCUACAGAAACCAAAGCCAAAAAGCAGUCCUGACUGGGAACCUCCUCUGCUCAACUAUUUUGUUACAAGUGGCCCAAAGAAGAACGACUUUCAUUUUUCAAUUCUUGUUGCAGCAGCAGCUCUGGGUUAAGCAAUUGUUAUGGUGUGCUCAGGGCAUCAAACCAAAAAAAUCUGAGAGAGAGGGCCCAGAUGCAGAAUUCCCUGCGAUAACCUAAACCAAAUGCCACUGAAUGCAGCUCCCUCAAGAUCUCCCUGCUCACAGCCUCGCUGGUGGCCAGCAUCCAGACUGAGCAUUAGUAAAACCAACAAACCAAACAGUUCCCACAGUAAGUCCCUUGCUCUCCAGUUAACUUGUUUAACUGUGGAGCUUUAAGGGGGAUGUUUCAUCUGCUGUUGUUGCAAUAAGCGGGUAUCCAUGGCAAAACCCAAGGGCGCUGCCCUACAGCAAUGAAGUCUUGGCUAAGCAGCAGCAGGAACUGGAAAAGGUCAGAGCUCCACAGUAGCCCUGCUCCAUUUUAAAAAUAAAGCCCAUCAUUUUGCUAAGAAACGAGGCAGGUUCUUCAGUGGCUUGCAGAUCAGACCUGGAGUGUCUCAAAUCAAUUUUCCCAAAGACACCAGGGGAAGAAAGGAAAAUGCACAGACAAGUGUGCAAGGAGAGCACCACUGCCAAGGGAGGGACAAGAACAGAAGGGACUUUGGGGCUUUGCAGAGGCCAAGGAACAAGGAACAUUUUCCCUGCUGCUCUUUCCCCACCCCUGUCCUGUUCUUGCUCCCAAAGGUAUAAUUUCCUGCUAUAAUUUAGGCAGGUUCCAUUUCUAUAUGGUUCUGUACCUGCAUAGUCUUACAGUGCCACCUUCUCUAGGAUUAUCAGUGGAAUCCAGCACAUUGGUUUGGUGAUCUGUAGCUGUUCCAUUCCACCUCUUGGAUAACGCUGCUGAAGUCCACCAGAAGGAGCCUUUGUGUAUCAAUUCUGCAUAAACCUCGAGGAAUGUAUUAACAUGUACUCCUAUUGUUGCAAUAAAAGCAUGGGGAGGUGUCAGCAAACUAGCUCUGCCAAGCUCCUUCAGCUUUGAUCUGAUGGCUGGAUUUUAUCUGUAGGUGUUUUGAGGAGGAUGAGUGCUUUCCACAAGAACGAGGCAGAAAAAAUAAAAGCAAACCAAUUAACUUCCAUAAAGUUAUCCUUACUCACUUUCUCUUCCCUUUCCUGCUGUGUUUGUGGUAACAGCUCAUUAGAGCCUGUGUUUGCAAUAGCUGCACCAUGAGACAGGAGAUUUCAUUUCCCCUCCUGCUUUCCAGGAUGUGGCAGAACCAAGCACAGGUUUAGCCUUAACUCCUUUCUCUUUCUGGUCUGCCUGUAAGAAACUCCUGUUCCUGCCUCGAGGGAAGAAAGGGGCUGGGAUUUCUCCCUAGGGGCUCAUGUUUGAAGAAGAAAAAAGCCUGUGCUGCUUUUUCCCCCAGACAAGCAUUAGCAUGGAGAGCAGAGAUGCUGCUGGUCCCUCUGGAGAACUUUGCCAGCCCUGCCUGCCCUGCAGAGGAGAUGGGGUCUGCUUGGAUGAUUUGAAUCCUUGCCAUCAUUUGGAGCAGAAUGAAGCUCUGUAAAAGGACAGUGACUGAAUGCCAAUGGGGCUGUCAUUAGCUCAGCAGCCCAGGAAGCAGCUGAUGUGCUGUUUGUGGUGGAAGUCAUGCAGACAGAAGGGGUGAUUCGGGGAUGGAGAGGCCCCAGCCCCUGGCUGCAGUCUGACUCCAAAGGUGUGUUCCAGGCUUGCUGUUUGGAUGGACCAGGCUCCAUGGACCAUCCAUUUGCUGUCAAUUUUUCAGUGAUCUUGGGUGCUGCUGGCCCAGCUCCAUCUUUCUUCCACAGUAAUCAAAGGAAAUGCACCCUAGUCUUGAAGUCUGGUGGUUCAGGACUGAGAAGCUUAAUGGCUUUCCUUGGCUUUUUUUUUUUCCCCUUUCUCUUUUAUGAAGCAUAGGGUGUUUAGAACUAUGGAAGUGGUGCAAGAAAAAUAUUAAUGAAUAACUAUGGAGUGCAGACAUUAAUGCAUUCCUUUCUAUUGAAAUAACUGGCUUUUCUCUGUGGGGUCUGUAACAAAAAAAAAAAAAAAAGGUGUCUGCAGAGUCUGAACCUGCUGUAUGGAAGCCAAAGUAGAUGACGAUUUAGAACUUCACUGGCUUUUUGUUUUUUUCCUAAAAUGUUAUAGCUGCAUUUAUCAUGUUGCAAAAAAUCUCUUUCUCUGAGAAAUUAUAAACCUAAGGCAGGGUAAAUCUGCCUGAUAAACCUAACAGGGGCAGUUCUUUAGAUUCUGGAUGAUGGAAAGUAUGAAUAAAUAAUUAUUUUUGGGAUCCUC